UACGGAGGAUGCGAGCGUUAUCCGGAUUUAUUGGGUUUAAAGGGUGCGUAGGCGGUCCGUUAAGUCAGCGGUAAAAUUGAGAGGCUCAACCUCUUCGAGCCGUUGAAACUGGUUUUCUUGAGUGAGCGAGAAGUACGCGGAAUGCGCGGUGUAGCGGUGAAAUGCAUAGAUAUCGCGCAGAACUCCGAUUGCGAAGGCAGCGUACCGGCGCCACACUGACGCUGAGGCACGAAAGCGUGGGGAUCGAACAGG
rnacentral:rRNA from 1 species